rnacentral:rRNA from 1 species
UACGUAGGGCGCAAGCGUUGUCCGGAAUUAUUGGGCGUAAAGAGCUCGUAGGUGGCUUGUCACGUCGGGUGUGAAAGCUUGGGGCUUAACUCCAGGUCUGCAUUCGAUACGGGCUGGCUAGAGGUAGGUAGGGGAGAACGGAAUUCCUGGUGUAACGGUGAAAUGCGCAGAUAUCAGGAGGAACACCGGUGGCGAAGGCGGUUCUCUGGGCCUUACCUGACGCUGAGGAGCGAAAGCGUGGGGAGCGAACAGG